rnacentral:rRNA from 1 species
CCUACGGGAGGCAGCAGUGGGGAAUAUUGGACAAUGGGCGGAAGCCUGAUGCAGCAACGCCGCGUGAGGGAUGACGGCCUUCGGGUUGUAAACCUCUUUCAGUACCGACGAAGCUGCUCCUUUUUUGGGGUGGUGACGGUAGGUACAGAAGAAGCACCGGCCAACUACGUGCCAGCAGCCGCGGUAAUACGUAGGGUGCGAGCGUUGUCCGGAAUUAUUGGGCGUAAAGGGCUCGUAGGCGGUUUGUCGCGUCGGGAGUGAAAACAUCGGGCUUAACUCGAUGCUUGCUUUCGAUACGGGCAGACUUGAGGUAUGCAGGGGAGAAUGGAAUUCCUGGUGUAGCGGUGAAAUGCGCAGAUAUCAGGAGGAACACCGGUGGCGAAGGCGGUUCUCUGGGCAUUACCUGACGCUGAGGAGCGAAAGUGUGGGGAGCGAACAGGAUUAGAUACCCUGGUAGUCCACACCGUAAACGUUGGGCGCUAGGUGUGGGACCUAUUCCAUGGGUUCCGUGCCGUAGCUAACGCAUUAAGCGCCCCGCCUGGGGAGUACGGCCGCAAGGCUAGAACUCAAAGGAAUUGACGGGGGCCCGCACAAGCGGCGGAGCAUGCGGAUUAAUACGAUGCAACGCGAAGAACCUUACCUGGGUUUGACAUACACCGGAAGCCUUUAGAGAUAGAGGUCUCUUUGAUACCGGUGUACAGGUGGUGCAUGGCUGUCGUCAGCUCGUGUCGUGAGAUGUUGGGUUAAGUCCCGCAACGAGCGCAACCCUCGUUCCAUGUUGCCAGCAGCACCUUCGGGUGGCUGGGGACUCAUGGGAGACUGCCGGGGUCAACUCGGAGGAGGGUGGGGGAUGACGUCAAGUCAUCAUGCUCCUUAUGUCCAGGCUUCACGCAUGCUACAAUGGCCGGUACAAAGGGCUGCGAUCCCGUGAGGGGGGAGCGAAUCCCAAAAGCGUCUCAGUUUCGGAUUGGGGUCUGCAACUCGACCCAUGAAGUCGGAGUCGCCUAGUAAUCGCAGAUCAGCAACG